AUUGAACGCUGGCGGCAGGCCUAACACAUGCAAGUCGAGCGAGCGGCGGACGGGUGAGUAAUGCCGGGGAAUUGUCCAGUCGAGGGGGAUAACAGUUGGAAACGACUGCUACUACCGCAUACGACGGGAUUGCCCAGGUGGGAUGAGCUAGUUGGUGAGGUAAUGGCUCACCAAGGCGACGAUCCCUAGCUGGUCUGAGAGGAUGAUCAGCCACGCUGUAACUGAUACACGAUCCAGACUCCUACGGAAGGCAGCAGUGGGGAAUAUUGCACAAUGGGGGAAGCCCUAAUGCGGCCAUGCCGCUUGUGUGAAGAAGGCCUUCGGGUUGUAGAGCACUUUCAGCGAGGAGGCGUUACUCGCAGAAGAGGCACCGGCUAACUCCGUGCCAGCAGCCGCGGUAAUAC
rnacentral:rRNA from 1 species